UACAGAGGUCCCAAGCGUUGUUCGGAUUCACUGGGCGUAAAGGGUGCGUAGGUGGUGGGGUAAGUCGGAUGUGAAAGCUCGGAGCUCAACUCCGAAAUGGCAUUGGAAACUACCCUGCUAGAGGAUUGGAGGGGGGACUGGAAUACUUGGUGUAGCAGUGAAAUGCGUAGAUAUCAAGUGGAACACCAGUGGCGAAGGCGAGUCCCUGGACAAUUCCUGACACUGAGGCACGAAGGCCAGGGGAGCAAACGGG
rnacentral:rRNA from 1 species